CACAAACCCUAUUUUUCUUAAAUAUUUAAUUGUACUAUGACUUUAAACACCUUAAACCCUAACCCAUAUUUGUUUACAUAUACAUAGGCUUUUAGGACAUGAAACACGAACCUCAUUUGAUAGUCACAAUUUACAUUUUCUCAUAAGUUAUCUAAAAUCAAGUUUCUAUAAAAGCAAUAUUCAACCUCUAUCAUUUCAUUCAACACACAUUCAACUAUCUUCUCAAAAAUCACAAAAUCUCACAUCUAUCAAAAUACUAACUAAAGUAGCAUACCAAAAUUGACAUGGAAAAAGUAUACUUGUCCACACUUGCUUUCAUUCAUAUAUAUAUAUAUAUAUAUGAAAACCAUGAACUACAUACAAACAAAAUAAAAACAAAAAAUAAAAAUAAAAAUCAAUUAUUCUAUUAUCACCACACACACACACACAGUUAGUUCUAUAUCCUUGACACAUGUUGGUAUCCACUCCACCAAGAGAAACUUACCCAUUUUGCAUGGUAUUUUAUCCCUCAUUUCACGUAGUUACGUGUUUCUAUUAUCAUGUUGGGCAAGUAAGUCGAAGAGGGUGGUGGGGGCAGCGAGAAAAAAGAAUCUAAAUAUAAUCUUCGAGGAAUCUAAGAAAGCGGGCAGAGGCAAAAUGGGCACGAGGGCGAGAGAGAGCGAGAGAGGGGCCAUCGUCGCGGCGCUCUGUCACGAGACCCUCGUUCAUUC
rnacentral:lncRNA from 1 species